rnacentral:misc_RNA from 1 species
UGUCAAAUCGACGGCAUUUUGGUUAGAUCGACGCGUUGGCGUGUGAGUGGUUGAUUGAAUGUUUGUGUCGGCCGGCUCCCUGCUUGCGCAGCGAACGGUUGUUGCAUGCAUAUUUCAGUCGGGAUCGGUUACUUGUUGUGUCGGAUUUUUGUGUUGCCAACC